rnacentral:lncRNA from 1 species
CCAUAUCAAAUAUCAUAAUACCAAAACCACGAUAUCAAAAAUUUCGAUUCAAUAUGGUAAUUCGAUAUAUACCAUAACAUGCCCACCCCUAACCACAAUAUUGUAGAUUGUAGCACAUUUACUUGGGGGAAGCACAAAAUUAAAAACGAGUUGCAUCCAUAACUUAAAGAACAAACAAGACAGCCAUAAUAUGAACGCCAUUAGGUUAACAUUGCAGACUUUACACAGUCCAUGGCACUAGAUCCAGUAUUUUUCAUCAUGGCCUGCCCACCAAGGAGUGAAAAAUAAGGAACAUCAACGAAAAAAAAAGGCUGACAAUACUCCACAGACACAUACAAGGAGAAGGCAGGCCAUUGUUAGAUUUUGAACGUCUUCCUGGACAAUCACCAAUAGCUUCCCAUUUGACAGGGCAAGCAAACAAGGGGGAACAACAAAUCUAUCCCCCGAAGCAUCAAUGGGUUUAAGUGGUUGCAAUUUGUCUGCAAGGCUUGGUGACAGUAACCAUUUUCUAACAUUAACAUCAUAUGCACACAAGCACCAGUCAUAGGUGAACCAAUAGAAUGUGUAGUUUCUAAACACUGCAUUUGUGUUUUAU